rnacentral:rRNA from 1 species
GUGACCUCAAAUCAGGUAGGACUACCCGCUGAACUUAAGCAUAUCAAUAAGCGGAGGAAAAGAAACUAACAAGGAUUCCCCUAGUAACUGCGAGUGAAGCGGGAAAAGCUCAAAUUUAAAAUCUGGCAGUCUUUGGCUGUCCGAGUUGUAAUCUAGAGAAGUGUUAUCCGCGCUGGACCGUGUACAAGUCUCCUGGAAUGGAGCGUCAUAGAGGGUGAGAAUCCCGUCUUUGACACGGACUACCAGGGCUUUGUGAUGCGCUCUCAAAGAGUCGAGUUGUUUGGGAAUGCAGCUCAAAAUGGGUGGUAAAUUCCAUCUAAAGCUAAAUAUUGGCGAGAGACCGAUAGCGAACAAGUACCGUGAGGGAAAGAUGAAAAGAACUUUGGAAAGAGAGUUAAACAGUACGUGAAAUUGCUGAAAGGGAAACGCUUGAAGUCAGUCGCGUUGUCCAGGGAUCAACCUUGCUUUUGCUUGGUGCACUUUCUGGUUGACGGGUCAGCAUCAAUUUUGACCAUUGGAAAAAGAUUGAGGGAAUGUGACAUCUUCGGAUGUGUUAUAGCCCUUGGUUGCAUACGAUGGUUGGGAUUGAGGAACUCAGCACGCCGCAAGGCCGGGUUUUUAACCACGUACGUGCUUAGGAUGCUGGCAUAAUGGCUUUAAUCGACCC